AGAGCUAUCUGCAGUCGAACGAUGAGCCCUUCNGGGUGGAUUAGNGGCGAACGGGUGAGUAACACGUGGGCAAUCUGCCCUUCACUCUGGGACAAGCCCUGGAAACGGGGUCUAAUACCGGAUAACACUCUGUCCCGCAUGGGACGGGGUUGAAAGCUCCGGCGGUGAAGGAUGAGCCCGCGGCCUAUCAGCUUGUUGGUGGGGUAAUGGCCUACCAAGGCGACGACGGGUAGCCGGCCUGAGAGGGCGACCGGNCACACUGGGACUGAGACACGGCCCANACUCCUACGGGAGGCAGCAGUGGGGAAUAUUGCACAAUGGGCGAAAGCCUGAUGCAGCGACGCCGCGUGAGGGAUGACGGCCUUCGGGUUGUAAACCUCUUUCAGCAGGGAAGAAGCGAAAGUGACGGUACCUGCAGAAGAAGCGCCGGCUAACUACGUGCCAGCAGCCGCGGUAAUACGUAGGGCGCAAGCGUUGUCCGGAAUUAUUGGGCGUAAAGAGCUCGUAGGCGGCUUGUCACGUCGGAUGUGAAAGCCCGGGGCUUAACCCCGGGUCUGCAUUCGAUACGGGCUAGCUAGAGUGUGGUAGGGGAGAUCGGAAUUCCUGGUGUAGCGGUGAAAUGCGCAGAUAUCAGGAGGAACACCGGUGGCGAAGGCGGAUCUCUGGGCCAUUACUGACGCUGAGGAGCGAAAGCGUGGGGAGCGAACAGGAUUAGAUACCCUGGUAGUCCACGCCGUAAACGUUGGGAACUAGGUGUUGGCGACAUUCCACGUCGUCGGUGCCGCAGCUAACGCAUUAAGUNCCCGCCUGGGGAGUACGGCCGCAAGGCUAAACUCAAGGAUUGACGGGGGCCCGCACAAGCAGCGNAGCAUGUGGNUUAUUCGACGCACGCGAAAACCUUACCAGGCUUGGAGCAUGUGGCUUAAUUCGAC
rnacentral:rRNA from 1 species